rnacentral:rRNA from 1 species
AACGAACGCUGGCGGCAGGCUUAACACAUGCAAGUCGAACGGUAACGCGGGGCAACCUGGCGACGAGUGGCGAACGGGUGAGUAAUGUAUCGGAACGUGCCCAGUUGUGGGGGAUAACUGCUCGAAAGAGCAGCUAAUACCGCAUACGACCUGAGGGUGAAAGCGGGGGAUCGCAAGACCUCGCGCAAUUGGAGCGGCCGAUAUCAGAUUAGGUAGUUGGUGAGGUAAAGGCUCACCAAGCCGACGAUCUGUAGCUGGUCUGAGAGGACGACCAGCCACACUGGGACUGAGACACGGCCCAGACUCCUACGGGAGGCAGCAGUGGGGAAUUUUGGACAAUGGACGCAAGUCUGAUUCAGCCAUGCCGCGUGCGGGAAGAAGGCCUUCGGGUUGUAAACCGCUUUUGUCAGGGAAGAAACGCUCUGGGUUAAUACCUCGGGGUAAUGACGGUACCUGAAGAAUAAGAACCGGCUAACUACGUGCCAGCCGCCGCCGUAAUAC